rnacentral:rRNA from 1 species
UACGUAGGGUGCGAGCGUUGUCCGGAAUUACUGGGCGUAAAGAGCUCGUAGGUGGUUUGUCGCGUUGUUCGUGAAAACUAGGGGCUUAACCUCUGGCGUGCGGGCGAUACGGGCAGACUGGAGUACUGCAGGGGAGACUGGAAUUCCUGGUGUAGCGGUGGAAUGCGCAGAUAUCAGGAGGAACACCGGUGGCGAAGGCGGGUCUCUGGGCAGUAACUGACGCUGAGGAGCGAAAGCGUGGGGAGCGAACAGG